ACUUACCAGGUCAAGACAUGGGCGUGAUUGACAGGCUAAUGACUUUUCUCGAUUCCAUGGAUGGUGGUGCAUGGUCGCACUUAGUUGGUGCAGUGAUUUGUCAGGUUCAUUCCGGUAACGAACGAGACCUCGGCCUUGUAAAUAGCUAUGCUGCUUACAGGGACAUUGGCGGCUACGCCAAGGAAGCUCGAGGCAAUUGCAGAUCUGGAAUGCCCUUAGAUGUCCUGGGUCGCACGCGUGCUACAAUGACGCCACGAACGAGCUUGCGUGAUGAAAGUUACGCAUAAUCAGCAGUCGGCGUCUUAAGGGAUAGUCUCUUGUAACUGUGGGACUCCAACUAGGAAUGUCUCGUAAGCACAAGUCAACAUCUUGUGUUGAUUACGUCCCUGCUCUUUGUACACACCGCCCGUCGCUCCUACCGAUCGAGUGUUUAGGUGAAUUUGAUGGACGUAAGGAAGUCAAAUAAACCUGAGCACUAGAGGAAGGAGAAGUCGAGCUCC
rnacentral:rRNA from 1 species